rnacentral:misc_RNA from 1 species
GAAAUGCGAUAAGUAGUGUGAAUUGCAGAAUUCAGUGAAUCAUCGAAUCUUUGAACGCACAUUGCGCCCCUUGGUAUUCCAUGGGGCAUGCCUGUUCGAGCGUCAUUUGUACCUUCAAGCUUUGCUUGGUGUUGGGUGUUUGUCUCGCCUCUGCGUGUAGACUCGCCUCAAAACAAUUGGCAGCCGGCGUAUUGAUUUCGGAGCGCAGUACAUCUCGCGCUUUGCACUCAUAACUACGACGUCCAAAAGUACAUUUUUACACUCUUGACCUCGGAUCAGGUAGGGAUACCCGCUGAACUUAAGC